rnacentral:rRNA from 1 species
GAUGAACGCUGGCGGCGUGCCUAAUACAUGCAAGUCGAGCGAAUGGAUUAAGAGCUUGCUCUUAUGAAGUUAGCGGCGGACGGGUGAGUAACACGUGGGUAACCUGCCCAUAAGACUGGGAUAACUCCGGGAAACCGGGGCUAAUACCGGAUAACAUUUUGAACCGCAUGGUUCGAAAUUGAAAGGCGGCUUCGGCUGUCACUUAUGGAUGGACCCGCGUCGCAUUAGCUAGUUGGUGAGGUAACGGCUCACCAAGGCAACGCUGCGUAGCCAACCUGAGAGGGUGAUCGGCCACACUGGGACUGAGACACGGCCCAGACUCCUACGGGAGGCAGCAGUAGGGAAUCUUCCGCAAUGGACGAAAGUCUGACGGAGCAACGCCGCGUGAGUGAUGAAGGCUUUCGGGUCGUAAAACUCUGUUGUUAGGGAAGAACAAGUGCUAGUUGAAUAAGCUGACACCUUGACGGUACCUAACCAGAAAGCCACGGCUAACUACGUGCCAGCCGCCGCAGUAA